UCGGGAAUUUUGGGCAAUGGGCGAAAGCCUGACCCAGCAACGCCGCGUGAAGGAUGAAGUAUUUCGGUAUGUAAACUUCGAAAGAAUAGGAAGAAUAAAUGACGGUACUAUUUAUAAGGUCCGGCUAACUACGUGCCAGCAGCCGCGGUAAUACGUAGGGACCAAGCGUUGUUCGGAUUUACUGGGCGUAAAGGGCGCGUAGGCGGCAAUUCAAGUCAUCUGUGAAAUCUCCGGGCUUAACUUGGAACGGUCAGAUGAUACUGCUUUGCUAGAGUGCAGAAGGGGCAAUCGGAAUUCUUGGUGUAGCGGUGAAAUGCGUAGAUAUCAAGAGGAACACCUGAGGUGAAGACGGGUUGCUGGGCUGACACUGACGCUGAGGCGCGAAAGCCAGGGGAGCAAACGGGAUUAGAUACCCACGUAGUCCCUGAGCGGGCUGGCAAGGCGCAU
rnacentral:rRNA from 1 species